UCCUCUCUCUUCAACCGAGUUUCAGAAAAUCUCUCUAACACUCUCAACCUUUCCUUGUGUUCUUGCGUAAAUUCACAGAGAAUGAAGAAUCAAAUCACGCAUGCAAAUUGAAGAAGAGAAAGAGGAAAAGAAGAGCAAUAAAAGCAUGUAUGUGGUUCAGCUUAGUUUGAAGCCUACGUCCACGGGAAGGGAAGAUGAUUUUAUUGAAGUUAUUUUUCAGAGAUAAGUUUUCUUUCUUCCACAAAUUUGUAGAAGAUUGAAUGUAAAAACAAAAAAAAAAAAAAUGAUGUAACAACUAUAUAUAUGUUUACAAGUCUGUUAUGAAGUUUGUUGAAAUGAAAACUAGCCGUUGAGCUUUAUUUGAGAUUAAUAUCUUUCAAAUCUUCACCUUAAUCUCAACUCUGAAUAACUUCUCCCUUCCAAAUCUGACCACUGUUUAUCCUUUUUUGGGUAAAACGAAGCCGAUCAGAUCAAGGCACUUGUUGAGCUUGAGCUUUGACCCUGGCUUGGUAAGCAUAUCUUCUAUGUUUUCUGAGGUUUUUCUUUUUAUUUCAAGCCACGAAGAGAAGAGUCCAGCCCAGGAAGAGAGGUUUGGUAGAACGAAAGGCUCUCGGUGAGCCACGCCUCUCAGCUGCCUCGACAACACGUGGAUAACACCACUAUCAACGAUCAGUGGGAAUUCUUUGAGGUCGACUAAAAAUUCAUUUGAAUGAAGAAUCAAAUCACGCAUCCAAAUUAAAGAAGAGAAAGAGGAAGAGAAGAGCAACAAAAGCAUGUACGUGGUUCGAUUUAAUUUGAAGCCUACAUCCACGGGAAGGGAAAAUGAUUUUAUUGAAAUUAUUUUUCAGAGAAAUUUUCUUUCUUACAGAAAUUUGUAGAAGACUGAAUGUAAAAACAAAAACAAAAUGAAU